UCAGCAGACAGGAUACAGAGCAGCCUAGGUGCCCAUCAGCAGACAGGAUACAGAGCAGCCUAGGUGCCCAUCAGCAGACAGGAUACAGCAGCAGCCUAGGUGCCCAUCAGCAGACAGGAUACAGCAGCAGCCUAGGUGCCCAUCAGCAGACAGAACGGACAAUGAGAAUGUGGUACGCACACAAUGGGAAAUUAUAUUCAGCGACCCUGAGUGUUGGUACUGCCAUCUGCAGCAGAGUGGACAGAACGGGAGUGCCCUGUACUAGAUGAAACAAGG